rnacentral:rRNA from 1 species
UACGAACUGCGCGAACGUUAUUCGGAAUCACUGGGCUUACAGGGUGCGUAGGUGGCAUCGAAAGUAGGGUGUGAAAUGCCUUGGCUCAACCGAGGCACAGCGCUCUAAACUACUUUGCUUGAGUGAGUCAGGGGUGCACGGAACUUCCGGUGGAGCGGUGAAAUGUGUUGAUAUCGGAAGGAACACCGGCGGCGAAAGCGGUGCACUGGGGCUUAACUGACACUGAGGCACGAAAGCCAGGGGAGCGAACGGG